GAUCACUUGCUUUAGACAUAUUACAGAUGAUGUCUAUGUCCAUGAUGAUGAUGAUGAUGAAGAUGAAGAUGAAGAGGAAGAAGCAGGUCCGUCUGCCACAGAAACUUUGACAGAAUCCUAGUUUUUUGAGAGUGAAGUGCAGAUUUUAUUAAAGGCUGAUGACAACAAUUUCUAAUAUCAUGAUGUUACUUUCAGCAAGUUAAUUAUAAUUAAAGUUAUGGUCAUUUGUUUGUUUUCCUUUUACCGGGUCCUAUAAUAUGGAGUGGAAUGCUAGAUGGAUGAUGCUUACAAGUCUGGUGGAUUGUUUUGAAAACAAUGUGGAGUGGAAUGCUUGAUGGACGAUGCUUUAAUAUUAGUGGGUCUUUAGAUUGCUUGCUCUACUUUUCUCUAAAAGUUGCUUAUUAGUUUAUCUGGUUUUAAAACAAAAUUUUUAAAAUAAAAGUGUUUGUAAUUAUGCCAUUUUAUUUUGAAGUAUUCAGAUCAAAUGAGAUAUGUGAUUAAGAUUUGUUCUCACA